rnacentral:rRNA from 1 species
CUCCGAAUGCCAAUUAAUUUAACUUGGGAGUCAGAACAUGGGUGAUAAGGUCCGUGUUCGAAAGGGAAACAGCCCAGACCACCAGCUAAGGUCCCAAAAUAUAUGUUAAGUGGAAAAGGAUGUGGCGUUGCCCAGACAACUAGGAUGUUGGCUUAGAAGCAGCCAUCAUUUAAAGAGUGCGUAAUAGCUCACUAGUCGAGUGACACUGCGCCGAAAAUGUACCGGGGCUAAACAUAUUACCGAAGCUGUGGAUUGUCCUUUGGACAAUGGUAGGAGAGCGUUCUAAGGGCGUUGAAGCAUGAUCGUAAGGACAUGUGGAGCGCUUAGAAGUGAGAAUGCCGGUGUGAGUAGCGAAAGACGGGUGAGAAUCCCGUCCACCGAUUGACUAAGGUUUCCAGAGGAAGGCUCGUCCGCUCUGGGUUAGUCGGGUCCUAAGCUGAGGCCGACAGGCGUAGGCGAUGGAUAACAGGUUGAUAUUCCUGUACCACCUAUAAUCGUUUUA